rnacentral:rRNA from 1 species
GAUGAACGCUGGCGGCGUGCCUAAUACAUGCAAGUCGAGCGGACGGACGAGAAGCUUGCUUCUCUGAUGUUAGCGGCGGACGGGUGAGUAACACGUGGAUAACCUACCUAUAAGACUGGGAUAACUUCGGGAAACCGUAGCUAAUACCGGAUAAUAUUUUGAACCGCAUGGUUCAAAAGUGAAAGACGGUCUUGCUGUCACUUAUAGAUGGAUCCGCGCUGCAUUAGCUAGUUGGUAAGGUAACGGCUUACCAAGGCAACGAUGCAUAGCCGACCUGAGAGGGUGAUCGGCCACACUGGAACUGAGACACGGUCCAGACUCCUACGGGAGGCAGCAGUAGGGAAUCUUCCGCAAAGGGCGAAAGCCUGACGGAGCAACGCCGCGUGAGUGAUGAAGGUCUUCGGAUCGUAAAACUCUGUUAUUAGGGAAGAACAUAUGUGUAAGUAACUGUGCACAUCUUGACGGUACCUAAUCAGAAAGCCACGGCUAACUACGUG